rnacentral:ncRNA from 1 species
CUAAUAGAGGCGCGGAUAACAUCAGUAAUCGGGUAUCUUUAAGCGGCAAGGCUUCUCCCGACGAAAGGGUAUAUCCGCCGAAACUUCGUUUUUUCUUGUCCGAAACGGAGUUGGGCGCAGGUUUUAAGAGGUCUGCGACUGUCAUCGAAAGAUGGAGUACUAUUAG